rnacentral:rRNA from 1 species
AUUGAACGCUGGCGGCAGGCUUAACACAUGCAAGUCGAGCGAGCGGCGGACGGGUGAGUAAGGUCUGGGAAACUGCCUGAUGGAGGGGGAUAACUACUGGAAACGGUAGCUAAUACCGCAUACCAUCAGAUGUGCCGAGAUGGGAUUAGCUAGUGGGUGGGGUAAUGGCUCACCUAGGCGACGAUCCCUAGCUGGUCUGAGAGGAUGACCAGCCACACUGGAACUGAGACACGGCCCCGACUCCUACGCGAGGCAGCAGUCGUGAGUCUUGCGCAAUGGGCGCAAGCCUGCUGCAGCCAUGCCGCGUGUGUGAAGAAGGCCUUCGUGUUGUAAAGCACUUUCAGCGAGGAGGCGUUACUCGCAGAAGAAGCACCGGCUAACUCCGUGCCAGCCGCCGCGGUAAUAC